rnacentral:lncRNA from 1 species
CGGAGCUUCCGGUUGGUGUCCCACUCGUGGUGUGCGGUCGUGUAUCUCAGGCAAAGCAUGGCUAAAAGCUUGCGGAGUAAGUGGAAAAGGAAGAUGCGCGCUGAGAAGAGAAAGAAGAAUGCGCCAAGGGAACUUAACAGACUCAAAAGUAUCCUCAAAGUUGACGGCGAUGCUUUAAUGAAAGAUGUUGAAGAAAUAGCCACUGUGGUGGUACCCAAACAUUACCAGGAGAAAAUGCAGUGUGAUGUCGCUGUGGAUGAUGAAAAGGAUGACAUGAAAAUGGAAACUGAAAUUAAGAGAAACAAAAAGACUCUUCUAGACCAGCAUGGCCAGUACCCAGUAUGGAUGAACCAGAGGCAAAGAAAAAGACUGAAGGCCAAGAGAGAAAAGAAACGGGGGAAAAGCAAAGCAAAGGCCGCCAAGGGCCUGGCCUGGUAGACUCUUAAAGACUGGAAAGGGAGGCAGACGUGCUGGUGCACCCCUUUAACCCCCGCGCUCAGGGGGCGGAGGCAGGUGGAUCUCUGAAUUCGGGGCCAGCCUGGUCUACAGAGUAACUCUAGAGAAACCCUGUCUUGAAAAAAACAACCAAACAAACAAAAAUCCAGAAGCUAUUUGUUUUCAUAUUUUAGUUUGAACUUAGUUCUAUAAUUCAAAGCCAAAAUAACUCCUUCGUUUUGGGAACUUGAAUAAAAUGUCUUUGAUAAAAGGUUACGUGAAGUUGUGAUUGGAUACUGCCUGAUAUGGAGUAUUGUGAGACACCUCAAUCUUGUGAGCAUGAGUCUAGUUAUUUGAUGUUACAAAAUGGCCAUUAUACUUAGUGCCUCAGAGUAAGCGUACUUAUAUCAACAGAGUUUGGACAGAAAGCUUGAGAUCGUCAUAUUAAAAAAAUAGGGUAUCAAGGGGCUCAGGAGGACUCAACUUCUGUUUGUUGGGUGGGUGACUGAAAACCAGCUCCCAGGGAUGUGCCCUCUUGUGGCCUUCACUGUCACCCCCUCAUUCACAUGCACAAGCUUCCCACCCACUAAUAACUGAAAGUCUACAAAGGACAUCGGUGGACUUUACAAGUGGUGCUUACUUGAAUUGCUUAUUUUUGAUAAUUCAUAAUAAACUAUAUUUUGUGUGGAG